rnacentral:rRNA from 1 species
UGGGGAAUUUUGGACAAUUGGGCGAAAGCCUGAUCCAGCAAUGCCGCGUGUGUGAAGAAGGCCUUCGGGUUGUAAAGCACUUUUGUCCGGAAAGAAAUCCUUGGCUCUAAUACAGUCGGGGGAUGACGGUACCGGAAGAAUAAGCACCGGCUAACUACGUGCCAGCAGCCGCGGUAAUACGUAGGGUGCAAGCGUUAAUCGGAAUUACUGGGCGUAAAGCGUGCGCAGGCGGUUUGCUAAGACCGAUGUGAAAUCCCCGGGCUCAACCUGGGAACUGCAUUGGUGACUGGCAGGCUAGAGUAUGGCAGAGGGGGGUAGAAUUCCACGUGUAGCAGUGAAAUGCGUAGAGAUGUGGAGGAAUACCGAUGGCGAAGGCAGCCCCCUGGGCCAAUACUGACGCUCAUGCACGAAAGCGUGGGGAGCAAAACAGGAUUAGAUACCCUGGUAGUCCACGCCCUAAACGAUGUCAACUAGUUGUUGGGGAUUCAUUUCCUUAGUAACGUAGCUAACGCGUGAAGUUGACCGCCUGGGGAGUACGGUCGCAAGAUUAAAACUCAAAUGAAUUGACGGGG